rnacentral:lncRNA from 1 species
UUCCUGUAGCACCUUCAAGCACAAAUGAUCAACCUCCAUCUGUGGAGCUUAAUACCACAAAGAACCCUCAUAGCAAUCCCUUGCCUACCUUGCAAAUUUCUUCUAUUGCAGAACCGAUAUUGAAAGAACCUGUGGUGAACAGCAAGAAGCUCAAAAACCCGAGAAUGGUGAUUAAGGCCGGUCCCCAUAAAAAAACAAAGCAUUAUAACCCUUAUGAGACUCCCUCCUAUGUUCAAGUACCUCUGGACGAUUCACUCCUUAUGGAUACCCCGAUCUUUGCAGCUGAAGGGGUAGACACAAGGGCUGUGGUGGUUUGCCCAAAACAACCACCGCCAGAACAAUGAAAAUUAUAAGUUGGAAUUGUCAGGGGCUAGGCAACCCCCUGACAAUUCAAGCUCUAAAAGACAUAGUGGUCCAUGAUAGGCCCGAUAUUAUUUUUUUGAUGGAAUCCAAAAACCAGGAACCAGUCAUCCAGCGAUUACAGCGAAAUCUUCAUUAUGAAAACCUUUUUGUGAUCAAUCCCCUAGGUUUGGCUGGAGGUUUGGUUAUUUUUUGGAAUGAUCAGGUUAAUCUUACUAUCCACUCUCAUGACCAGCAUCAUAUUGAUACUAUCUGCUCAGAUGUUCUGAAAAGGACAACUAUGGGUAUUACUUUUCUGCAUGCUUCAGUAGUAUUUCAUCAGAGGCAACAUCUAUGGACAACUUUGCGUCAACUCAGCCAUCUACAUACCCUACCUUGGGUGUGCAUUGGCGACUUUAAUGAAAUUUUGAAUCACUGGGAGAAAGUGGGAAAACGCUUACCUCAGCAAUAUCGGUUGCAAUCUUUUAGAGAUUUAUUAGACCACUGUGCUUUGAUGGAUCUUGAAACCAAGGGCUGUACCUACACUUGGGUGAACAAUAGAAGUGGUGAGGAAGCUGUAAAGGAGCGAAUAGAUAGAGCUGUGUGCACAAUGGAAUGGCGAUUAACCUAUCCAGAAGCUGAAGUUUACGCUUUACCUGCUAUAGGCUCAGACCAUUGUCCACUACUCUUAAAUACAGAAGUCAAAUCAAAAAGGAGGAAAAGGAGGUUCACCUUUGAGUCUUUUUGGCUUCAAGAUGAUGAAUGCCACAGGGUGGUCUUUGAUGUAUGGUCAUCAGCCUUAAAUCAUCCCUUCAGCAUCUCCAAAAAAUUACAGAUGACAACUACAGCUUUGGCUAAUUGGAGUAGAAUGAAGUUUACUGCCGCACAUCAUCAAAUAGAUCUCUUAAAGCAGAAGCUCCAGU